CCUGGGAUUAGGUGCAGCCGUGUUAGUGAGGAGUGUGGAGCCAUGGAGAGGACAUAGCCAAGAGCAGAGGGGCCUGGUCUGGAACUCUGGAGCUCUGAAACUCCUGAGUGUCAUGGAGGAAUAAAAGACCAAACUCAAAAUCAGAAAGGAAACCUGUUUGAAUGAAGAUUUAGCUGAUUCCAUGUGACCCUGGCAAGUCACUUUACCUUGGAGCUUUCUUCUCCUUAUCUGGAAAUUGGGAGUAACAACAGCUACUACUUCAUUCACAUCCCGAGUCCUCAAUAAGGACCUGGCUCUAGGCCUCAGCCCCGUGGGCCCUACCAAGGGAGCAGCAUGCGACACCCCUGGGCCAGCCUAGUGUCCUCUGGCCUGCUGCCCAGCCCCCAAAGGAGGCCCUGACGCCCUGGGGCACUUCUGCUCUGUGCAGGACCAAGUGGGGGUUUGCCAUGGUGACAUAAAGGGGCGCAGAGGAAGGAAGGAGCGAGACCAGCCUCUAGACUGCGCC
rnacentral:lncRNA from 1 species